rnacentral:rRNA from 1 species
UACAGAGGUCCCGAGCGUUGUUCGGAUUCAUUGGGCGUAAAGGGUGCGUAGGCGGCGGGGCAAGUCUGAUGUGAAAUCCCGGGGCUCAACCCCGGAACUGCAUUGGAUACUGCCUUGCUUGAGUACUGGAGAGGAGACUGGAAUUUACGGUGUAGCAGUGAAAUGCGUAGAUAUCGUAAGGAAGGCCAGUGGCGAAGGCGGGUCUCUGGGCCGUAACUGACGCUGAGGAGCGAAAGCAUGGGGAGCGAACAGG